GUCACGAUAGCUCAGGUGGUUAGAGUAGCGGCGUAUCAAGCCGAAGGUCGUGGGUUCGAAUCCCGCUCGUGACA
rnacentral:tRNA from 1 species